rnacentral:tRNA from 1 species
GCUCCCAUAGCUCAGUUGGAUAGAGCGAUGGUUUCCUAAACCAUAGGUCGCUGGUUCGAACCCAGUUGGGGGUA